UACGUAGGGGGCAAGCGUUGUCCGGAUUUAUUGGGCGUAAAGCGCGCGCAGGCGGUUUCUUAAGUCUGAUGUGAAAGCCCACGGCUUAACCGUGGAAGGUCAUUGGAAACUGGGAGACUUGAGUGCAGAAGAGAAGAGCGGAAUUCCACGUGUAGCGGUGAAAUGCGUAGAGAUGUGGAGGAACACCAGUGGCGAAGGCGGCUCUUUGGUCUGUAACUGACGCUGAGGCGCGAAAGCGUGGGGAUCAAACAGG
rnacentral:rRNA from 1 species